rnacentral:tRNA from 1 species
AAAGAGAUGGCUGAGAAGUAAGCGUGGGGCUUUUAACCCUAAGACGAACUACAAGUUCUCUCUUUA